rnacentral:rRNA from 1 species
AGAGCGAACGCUGGCGGCAUGCUUAACACAUGCAAGUCGCACGGGCAGCAAUGUCAGUGGCGGACGGGUGAGUAACGCGUAGGUAUCUAUCCUUGGGUGGGGGACAACUGUGGGAAACUACAGCUAAUACCGCAUAACAACUGAGGUUCAAAGGCGCAAGUCGCCUGAGGAGGAGCCUGCGUACGAUUAGCUAGUUGGUGGGGUAAAGGCCUACCAAGGCGACGAUCGUUAGCUGGUCUGAGAGGAUGAUCAGCCACAUUGGGACUGAGACACGGCCCAAACUCCUACGGGAGGCAGCAGUGGGGAAUAUUGGACAAUGGGCGAAAGCCUGAUCCAGCAAUGCCGCGUGUGUGAAGAAGGUCUUCGGAUUGUAAAGCACUUUCGACGGGACGAUGAUGACGGUACCCGUAGAAGAAGCCCCGGCUAACUUCGUGCCAGCAGCCGC